rnacentral:rRNA from 1 species
UACGUAGGGGGCAAGCGUUGUCCGGAAUCAUUGGGCGUAAAGAGCGUGUAGGCGGCCCGGUAAGUCCGCUGUGAAAGUCCAGGGCUCAACCCUGGGAUGCCGGUGGAUACUGUCGGGCUCGAGUCCGGAAGAGGCGAGUGGAAUUCCUGGUGUAGCGGUGAAAUGCGCAGAUAUCAGGAGGAACACCUAUUGCGAAGGCAGCUCGCUGGGACGUAACUGACGCUGAGACGCGAAAGCGUGGGGAGCAAACAGG